GGGGAUGUCCCGGUUUCGACGGAAUUGGGAAAUCUUGUAUUGCAGGUAGGAGUGAAGGUUCCUUAAACUGACAAACAAAUAACUGCAAUUUUCGCAAGAAAAGAAGAAGAAGCUGAUGAAGCUUUCGAAGCAGAAGCACUCGCUGCGUAAGUAGCCGUGCAGGAACUCACCCGGCUCUGUUCCGCGUUGGAUGAUGUUCCUUUACCUAUCGGGACUUGCUGGAUAUAGAUUCUGUAAUGUAUCCGGGACUCUUUAUCAGAAUACGGAGGCGACGCUUGUUAUGCUGCUACCGGCUCCCGACAAAUACCUCGCAUAACUAAACUUGUAGAUAUACCUGGUUUACUUUUUCGGACGGGGGUUCAAUUCCCCCCAUCUCCAACA
rnacentral:tmRNA from 1 species